CUGACUUAGAACAGAAGUGGGGGGGCCUGUGGCCAAAGUCGAGGGGCCGGUGAUCUUUCCUAAACCUGUUAUUCUCUAGUGAAUGUAUUUCUCUUCCCGUGACCACAUGCAACUGAGGAUUUAUCCCCAAUCAACAAAUGAGAAGUUCUGAGCCAGAAACCUGAGUCCGUGCUGGUCCUCCACCUGGGGCACUCCCGCCACCCGCUGGCCCGGACAUCUGGGGACCCAUGUCAUCCUGCUCUGCCCAUACCUGCUGGAAGCCGGGGCCGCAUGUUUCUCCCUGUCACCAAAGAAUUAAAGACAACAUCUCGGACGGUCUCUGUACAUGGAGAAAUGAGAAUGUAUUCGCAGACAAAGCGUGACCUGAGGGAGAAGCCUGCCGGAAUCUGGAUUUUCAAUAACAUAAGACAAUAAAGCUUAGACUUCUAACCUGCUGCAAUAUGGUACUGCUUUAUUCCUCUGGCUGCACCUCAGAAGAGCCCACCCCUCUCAUGUGGGACACAUCUCUGCAGAAGUUUUCAUUUCUGGUGUGUCCCCAGUGGGGAGAGGCAAGUGUGGGAUGCUGGAUGCCCUGGGACAGAACUGUAGACUCUGCUAGGCACCUUCCUUCUCUGGGAAGCCUGCCCUGGUCCAUGUGGAGGACGACAAAGGAAAGCACACACUGAGGUCCCUAGAAGAGAGCCUUCCUCCAUCACUCGGUGACAGGGAGUGGAACCGAUUAGCCCAUUCUGAGGCUGCCUGCGUGCCGGCCCAUCUUUGAUCCUCACAGCACUUUGCAAGC